rnacentral:lncRNA from 1 species
CUUGCUUAGUGCAUAUUGUUAAUCCAUGAUAUUUCUUGCAUGAUACUUGUGCUUAUGUUUCAAUCCAAGGGAAAGGGAUUAUAGUUGACUUAUUGGCAUACAUAUAUUCAUUGUAUGUGUAGGUAGCUUCCUUUACCCACCUUGUGCCCUUCAUCCCCUUCUAAACCCUAGUCCAAACUUAUGAUUUUUCAAAAUUGAACUUCUUUCAUAAAAAACCUUGACUUUAGGUCAUUGAAUUUC